CGUGUAGGCGGCUAAUUAAGUCAGGCGUGAAAUCUCUGGGCUUAACCCAGAAAUUGCGUUUGAAACUGGAUAGCUUGAGGAUCGGAGAGGGCAGUGGAAUUCCCAGUGUAGCGGUGAAAUGCGUAGAUAUUGGGAGGAACACCAGUGGCGAAGGCGACUGCCUGGACGACACCUGACGCUGAGGCGCGAAAGCGUAGGGGAGCAAACGGGAUUAGAUACCCCGGUGUCCUAGCCGUAAACGAUGGGUACUAGGUGUGGGAGGUAUCGACCCCUUCCGUGCCGCAGUUAACACAAUAACGUACCCCGCCUGGGGGAGUACGGCCGCAAGGUUGAA
rnacentral:rRNA from 1 species